GAGCAGGCGCGUGUGACGUCGGGAGGCGCCGCGGCUCCUCGGCCGCCCCACUCGGUGGUCCCCUGUCUGGAUCCAAACUGCUGACUGGCUGACCCGAGUGGUCACAUUUGCCCUCUGGGGCUUUUGAAAACCUUAAAUCAAAAUUGCUUUUGAAUCUGACAACUCCUGAGGCUACUUUCGCGGCCUCGGGGCUGUUUCAUAUAAGGACGCGAGUUUUCCUGAUCAGGUCUGUCGGCCACGUUACGAUUUCCAAUUUGCGAUCCAUCAGUUACUUCCAUUGGGUCUUCAGCCCCCAGGGACUGUGGAUCCUAGACCCCGCGGAGAAGCCCGUGGACUGGAGCUGUGUCAGCUCUGAUGGAACAAAAACGGAGGCACAGAGAGGUCAAUUGAUUGGUCUAAUGACACAGAUCUAGCAAGUGGUGGAACCAGGACUGAAUCCAGAGAAUCUGGAAGACUACUCUGCCAAGACAUCUCAAAAAGUGUGUGUCCGGAAUUGGUGGGUUCUUGGUCUCACUGACUUCAAGAAUGAAGCCGCGGACCCUUGCGGAACUGUGAAGACUAGAGUGACCUUGGAGAUCUCAUCUGGAAGAUGGUAGAACUGCUAUCAGCCUGGCUUCCCAAAUGACCUCCUGGAUCACAGCUACCCAUGGCCUGAAAUGUUGACCUUGGAGUUGUUGCAUAGGAAAGAAAUAAACUUCUUUGUUC
rnacentral:lncRNA from 1 species